GACGAACGCUGGCGGCGUGCUUAACACAUGCAAGUCGAACGAUGAAGCCGGAGCUUGCUCUGGUGAAUUAGUGGCGAACGGGUGAGUAACACGUGAGUAACCUGCCCUUGACUCCGGGAUAACUGCGGGAAACUGUAGCUAAUACCGGAUACGACCCUCGGAGGCAUCUCCUGGGGGUGGAAAGAAUUUCGGUCAAGGAUGGACUCGCGGCCUAGCAGCUAGUUGGUGAGGUAAAGGCUCACCAAGGCGACGACGGGUAGCCGGCCUGAGAGGGUGACCGGCCACACUGGGACUGAGACACGGCCCAGACUCCUACGGGAGGCAGCAGUGGGGAAUAUUGCACAAUGGGCGCAAGCCUGAUGCAGCAACGCCGCGUGAGGGAUGACGGCCUUCGGGUUGUAAACCUCUUUUAGCAGGGAAGAAGCGAAAGUAACGGUACCUGCAGAAAAAGCACCGGCUAACUACGUGCCAGCAGCCGCCGUAA
rnacentral:rRNA from 1 species